rnacentral:tRNA from 1 species
GGGGGCGUGGCUCAGUUGGGAGAGCGCUGCCUUCGCAAGGCAGAGGCCGGGGGUUCGAAUCCCCCCGUCUCCA